GUAGGUGGCAAGCGUUGUCCGGAAUUAUUGGGCGUAAAACGCGCGCAGGCGGUUCUUUAAGUCUGAUGUGAAAGCCCACGGGCUCAACCGUGGAGGGUCAUUGGAAACUGGAGAACUUGAGUACAGAAGAGGAAAGCGGAAUUCCACGUGUAGCGGUGAAAUGCGUAGAGAUGUGGAGGAACACCAGUGGCGAAGGCGGCUUUCUGGUCUGUAACUGACGCUGAGGCGCGAAAGCGUGGGGAGCAAACAGGAUUAGAUACCCUGGUAGUCCACGCCGUAAACGAUGAGUGCUAAGUGUUAGGGGGUUUCCGCCCCUUAGUGCUGCAGCUAACGCAUUAAGCACUCCGCCUGGGGAGUACGGCCGCAAAGGCUGA
rnacentral:rRNA from 1 species